GACGAACGCUGGCGGCGUGCUUAACACAUGCAAGUCGAACGGAAAGGCCCUGCUUUUGUGGGGUGCUCGAGUGGCGAACGGGUGAGUAACACGUGAGUAACCUGCCCUUGACUUUGGGAUAACUUCAGGACACUGGGGCUAAUACCGGAUAGGAGCUCCUGCUGCAUGGUGGGGGUUGGACAGUUUCGGCGGUUGGGGAUGGACUCGCGGCUUCUCCGCUUGUUGGUGGGGUAGUGGCUUACCAAGGCUUUGACGGGUAGCCGGCCUGAGAGGGGGGCCGGCCACAUGAGGACUGAGAUACGGCCCAGACUCCUACGGGAGGCAGCAGUGGGGAAUAUUGCACAAUGGGCGGAAGCCUGAUGCAGCGACGCCGCGUGCGGGAUGACGGCCUUCGGGUUGGAAACCGCUUUCGCCUGUGACGAAGCGUGAGUGACGGUAAUGGGUAAAGAAGCACCGGCUAACUACGUG
rnacentral:rRNA from 1 species